AUUGAACGCUGGCGGCAGGCCUAACACAUGCAAGUCGAGCGGAUGAAGGGAGCUUGCUCCUGGAUUCAGCGGCGGACGGGUGAGUAAUGCCUAGGAAUCUGCCUGGGAGUGGGGGAUAACGUCCGGGAACGGGCGCUAAUACCGCAUACGUCCUGAGGGAGAAAGUGGGGGAUCUUCGGACCUCACGCUAUCAGAUGAGCCUAGGUCGGAUUAGCUAGUUGGUGGGGUAAAGGCCUACCAAGGCGACGAUCCGUAACUGGUCUGGGAGGAUGAUCAGUCACACUGGAACUGAGACACGGUCCAGACUCCUACGGGAGGCAGCAGUGGGGAAUAUUGGACAAUGGGCGAAAGCCUGAUCCAGCCAUGCCGCGUGUGUGAAGAAGGUCUUCGGAUUGUAAAGCACUUUUGGUUGGGAGGAAGGGCAGUAAGUUAAUACCUUGCUGUUUUGACGUUACCAACAGAAUAAGCACCGGCUAACUUCGUG
rnacentral:rRNA from 1 species